GCGCCCGUAGCUCAACGGAUAGAGCAAUACCCUUCUAAGGUAGAGGUUGAGCGUUCGAUUCGCUCCGGGCGCACCA
rnacentral:tRNA from 1 species